GAUGAACGCUGGCGGCGUGCCUAAUACAUGCAAGUCGAGCGAACAGACGAGGAGCUUGCUCCUCUGACGUUAGCGGCGGACGGGUGAGUAACACGUGGAUAACCUACCUAUAAGACUGGGAUAACUUCGGGAAACCGGAGCUAAUACCGGAUAAUAUAUUGAACCGCAUGGUUCAAUAGUGAAAGACGGUUUUGCUGUCACUUACAGAUGGAUCCGCGCCGCAUUAGCUAGUUGGUAAGGUAACGGCUUACCAAGGCAACGAUGCGUAGCCGACCUGAGAGGGUGAUCGGCCACACUGGAACUGAGACACGGUCCAGACUCCUACGGGAGGCAGCAGUAGGGAAUCUUCCGCAAUGGGCGAAAGCCUGACGGAGCAACGCCGCGUGAGUGAUGAAGGUCUUCGGAUCGUAAAACUCUGUUAUUAGGGAAGAACAAAUGUGUAAGUAACUAUGCACGUCUUGACGGUACCUAAUCAGAAAGCCACGGCUAACUACGUG
rnacentral:rRNA from 1 species